AGAGACUUAGGAUAAAACAAACCAAGGGCCUUCAAAGCCCAAAAUAAGGGCUAAGCCUCUUAGUUUCUG
rnacentral:tRNA from 1 species